CCCCCGUGGCCAUCGAGGGCAGUCAGUCGUGCACCAAUGACCGCCUCGUCAUCAUGCACAAGUGCUUCUGGAAGAAGUACUGCGGCCAGAAACGCCCCGGGAUCAUCACGACGUGCGGCCCCUGGGCGAGGCUCACCUUCCGGACCAACGGCGCCACGCAGAAGAAGGGCUUCCACUGCACCGUCACGGCCUUCGAAGUGACGACAACCACAAGCACAACCACCACCACGGCGACCACCUCAACCACAAGCACAACCACC
rnacentral:lncRNA from 1 species